GGUGUCAAGUGUUGACGACUCCGCCGCCGCCAACGUCUGCGCUGCUACAACCCAUCCUCCGCUCCUCCAGCUCCAUCGCGCGCCGUCUGCGGUGCCACCGGUGUGCGAAGAUGCGCAACCGCCCGAAGUUGUCCCGUCCGGACACCAGUAGAUAGGGACAUUCCCACCACCUUCCCAUGGUCCUUCCUGCCUCACGGCGUACGGACCCUAAUCUGGGGAGGAGCGCACGGUACUUGCGUUGGCUCUUUCCCAUGCGCCCUUCUUGACUCCCUACAUAUUCUUUUUUUUUUUUUUUUUUUUUUUAUGUCCUAGGCCUCACUCUCCCCAUCAGGGGCCGGGCCUCCUAUCUACUCUGACCUCCCUCAAUAGGGUUAGGCGAAACACACGGUACUUCGCGUUCGGCGUCACACUUGUUGGUCGUCUACACUGCGUCGAAUAGUAUGCCAGUUGUGUGCGAAUGUUCGCAGCGCGUCGAAGUUUUCCCUGCUGCCAACUAGCGUCUGGUGAUACACUGGACCCGUCUCCGCCACACGAAUUGCAUCCAACAUCCGAGAUCGUUCCUCUGCGUACAGGCUGCAUUCCCAGAGUGCGUGAUCACGGCUUUCCUCUUCCUCCCCACAGGGGCACACUGGUGAUCCACAGAGCUUCAUUUUGUGUAACCGUUUUCUGAAACAGCCGUGUCCGGUGAGUAUCUGAGACACAAAAUGGUCUGGUUGUAUCCACUCUGAUUCCAGCCUUACAGCAACGUCUGGGAAGAAGCUGUACAGCUCGCGUCCAUCUUCACUGGCCUGCCACCGCUCCUGCCAGAGGGCAACCGUUUCGCGGCGAAUGUUAGACUUCAGGGCGCGCAGCUCUUUCUGGACCAGCUGUGGACCCUCCUCCGCAAUUCGUCCCGCACGACAGAUUUCAAGAUCUGCAGGGAGAACUCCCGCUAGCACAGGUAACGCUGCGGUGCUGCAAGAUCUGUACGCCUUCGUUAGUAAAAUUAGUGCCGGCCUCUGUGUACGUAGUAACGUUCUUUUGACCACGAAGUUGGAGGAUCGUCGAUACCAUACGGCCGCAGCAUACGUUAAAGUGGCCACAUAGGUCCCUGAGUACAGGACCCUAAGGGCAUGGUACUUCACCCCCCAUCUGGUCGCGGACACCCGCGACAUUUUGCCGAAGCAAUUGGAGGAUUUUUCUCCUAUAAUACUCGCAUGCGGCACGUAGGAUCUUGCAUCGUCCAGAGUGACACCGAGCAGUCUUGCCUGGGACACACUCGCAACCGGGGCGCCGGAUAGUCUAAUGGUCGGCGCGCGUUUAAACUUACCUUUAUAUGUCAGAGUGAGACUUUUCCCAGGGGAGAAUCCGAGACGGUUCCUAGCUCCCCACUCAGUGAUUCGCUCCAACAUGGUAGCGGCAUUCCGUUCAAUCUCGGCGCGCGACGACGCCUCGAUUGCGAUGGUCACAUCGUCGGCGUACGCGAUCAAGUGCACUCCUUCGGGUCGAGGCAGCAACAAGAGGUCAUUGAGGAGGAGGUUCCACAGAGUUGGGCCCAGAACCGAUCCCUGUGGACACCCCAUGGUGUUUGUUUUCCAAGUAGUUUGGUUACCAGCAACAAAGCAAACGCGACGAUUAGUGAAAUAGCUGACCAAUAUCCUAUACAGAUUCGGUGGUGCCCCACCCUGCUUGACUUUAAGUAGGAUCAUUGGCCACCAGGCAUUAUCAAAAGCACCAGAGAUGUCCAGAAAGAUCAGUUGAACAUACGCGGCCCUGGAUUGCUCGACUACCCUAUUUAACGCGCUUAAGGCUGUUACCGUCGACCUACCUUUAGUAAAACCGUGCUGUGAGUCCGAGAUAUUACAUGAUAAACAUGGUGCACAAGCAACAAUAAUGCGCUCUAGUAUUUUACCCAGAAUGGGCAACAAAGUAAUUGGCCUAUACGCUUUCGGGUCGCUAAGAGGUUUUCCGUUGCCCUUUGGCAGCACGAUGAGCCUGCCAGCUUUCCAGUGGUCAGGGAACACACCAUCCGUGAUGCACUUCGUGUACAUAAGGGUCAUUUCGUCCGCGGUACA